rnacentral:lncRNA from 1 species
AGCUUUGACUGAAGCCAAAGACAAGGAGAAUCACCAUGGCAGCUGCCGCUCAGUUUUCAGCUCUGGAGUCAUGUUCAGUACUCUGUGCUGUUUCAUCUGUGAUGAUGUUGUUAUGUCCACGGCUCAUGAAAUAAGGCACAGACACGUCCCAACUGCUGUUAUUUCUGUGACUGUAAUGACUUGCUGUGUAUCUGCUCUGAUGGUCAGUUGUUUCUCCUGCUUCAUAAGAACUCAGGCCAUUUUAAAAAGCAUCUUUCAUUUGUCAUAUCGAUUUAAACUGAUA